rnacentral:rRNA from 1 species
AGAGUUUGAUCCCUGGCUCAGAUUGAACGCUGGCGGCAUGCCUUACACAUGCAAGUCGAACGGCAGCGCGGGGCAACCUGGCGGCGAGUGGCGAACGGGUGAGUAAUAUAUCGGAACGUACCCUGGAGUGGGGGAUAACGUAGCGAAAGUUACGCUAAUACCGCAUACGAUCUAAGGAUGAAAGUGGGGGAUUCGCAAGAACCUCAUGCUCCUGGAGCGGCCGAUAUCUGAUUAGCUAGUUGGUAGGGUAAAAGCCUACCAAGGCAUCGAUCAGUAGCUGGUCUGAGAGGACGACCAGCCACACUGGAACUGAGACACGGUCCAGACUCCUACGGGAGGCAGCAGUGGGGAAUUUUGGACAAUGGGCGCAAGCCUGAUCCAGCAAUGCCGCGUGAGUGAAGAAGGCCUUCGGGUUGUAAAGCUCUUUUGUCAGGGAAGAAACGGGUCUUUCUAAUACAGAGAUCUAAUGACGGUACCUGAAGAAUAAGCACCGGCUAACUACGUGCCAGCAGCCGCGGUAAUACGUAGGGUGCAAGCGUUAAUCGGAAUUACUGGGCGUAAAGCGUGCGCAGGCGGUUUUGUAAGACUGUCGUGAAAUCCCCGGGCUCAACCUGGGAAUGGCGAUGGUGACUGCAAGGCUAGAGUUUGGCAGAGGGGGGUAGAAUUCCACGUGUAGCAGUGAAAUGCGUAGAUAUGUGGAGGAACACCGAUGGCGAAGGCAGCCCCCUGGGUCAAAACUGACGCUCAUGCACGAAAGCGUGGGGAGCAAACAGGAUUAGAUACCCUGGUAGUCCACGCCCUAAACGAUGUCUACUAGUUGUCGGGUUUUAAUUAACUUGGUAACGCAGCCAACGCGUGAAGUAGACCGCCUGGGGAGUACGGUCGCAAGAUUAAAACUCAAAGGAAUUGACGGGGACCCGCACAAGCGGUGGAUGAUGUGGAUUAAUUCGAUGCAACGCGAAAAACCUUACCUACCCUUGACAUGGCAGAAAUCCUUGAGAGAUUGAGGAGUGCUCGAAAGAGAAUCUGCACACAGGUGCUGCAUGGCUGUCGUCAGCUCGUGUCGUGAGAUGUUGGGUUAAGUCCCGCAACGAGCGCAACCCUUGUCAUUAGUUGCUACGAAAGAGCACUCUAAUGAGACUGCCGGUGACAAACCGGAGGAAGGUGGGGAUGACGUCAAGUCCUCAUGGCCCUUAUGGGUAGGGCUUCACACGUCAUACAAUGGUACAUACAGAGGGCCGCCAACCCGCGAGGGGGAGCUAAUCCCAGAAAGUGUAUCGUAGUCCGGAUUGUAGUCUGCAACUCGACUGCAUGAAGUUGGAAUCGCUAGUAAUCGCGGAUCAGCAUGUCGCGGUGAAUACGUUCCCGGGUCUUGUACACACCGCCCGUCACACCAUGGGAGCGGGUUUUACCAGAAGUAGGUAGCUUAACCGUAAGGAGGGCGCUUACCACGGUAGGAUUCGUGACUGGGGUGAAGUCGUAACAAGGUAGCC